rnacentral:lncRNA from 1 species
UUUUUUUAGUUAAGAAAGUCUUGUUUGUUACAAGUUGGCCGAAUGCGAAUAUCCACGUGAAUACGUGUGUGUACAUAUAUAGAGAGAGAGAGAGCAGUCUGUCUCUGACCAAACAGACGCGUUAGGGCCUCUCACCACCACUACUCCACCUCCACACCUGCACCACCACUACUCCACCUCCACACCUGCCCUCUAGGCUACGCCGCUCACCAUAUAUUACCCUCCCUUCAUAUAUAUAAAUAUAUAUAUAUGUGUGUGUGUAUGUGUAUGUGUAUGUGUGUCACAUUAGAUGAUAAAGAUGUUGAAACGGGUUAAUCAAG